GAUGAACGCUGGCGGCGUGCCUAAUACAUGCGAGUCGAGCGAACGGACGAGAAGCUUGCUCCUCUGAUGUUAGCGGCGGACGGGUGAGUAACACGUGGAUAACCUACCUAUAAGACUGGGAUAACUUCGGGAAACCGGAGCUAAUACCGGAUAAUAUUUUGAACCGCAUGGUUCAAAAGUGAAAGACGGUCUUGCUGUCACUUAUAGAUGGAUCCGCGCUGCAUUAGCUAGUUGGUAAGGUAACGGCUUACCAAGGCAACGAUGCAUAGCCGACCUGAGAGGGUGAUCGGCCACACUGGAACUGAGACACGGUCCAGACUCCUACGGGAGGCAGCAGUAGGGAAUCUUCCGCAAUGGGCGAAAGCCUGACGGAGCAACGCCGCGUGAGUGAUGAAGGUCUUCGGAUCGUAAAACUCUGUUAUUAGGGAAGAACAAAUGUGUAAGUAACUGUGCACAUCUUGACGGUACCUAAUCAGAAAGCCACGGCUAACUACGUG
rnacentral:rRNA from 1 species